rnacentral:rRNA from 1 species
UGGGGAAUAUUGCACAAUGGGCGCAAGCCUGAUGCAGCCAUGCCGCGUGUGUGAAGAAGGCCUUCGGGUUGUAAAGCACUUUCAGCGGGGAGGAAGGCGUUAAGGUUAAUAACCUUGGCGAUUGACGUUACCCGCAGAAGAAGCACCGGCUAACUCCGUGCCAGCAGCCGCGGUAAUACGGAGGGUGCAAGCGUUAAUCGGAAUUACUGGGCGUAAAGCGCACGCAGGCGGUCUGUCAAGUCGGAUGUGAAAUCCCCGGGCUCAACCUGGGAACUGCAUUCGAAACUGGCAGGCUAGAGUCUUGUAGAGGGGGGUAGAAUUCCAGGUGUGGCGGUGAAAUGCGUAGGGAUCUGGAGGAAUACCGGUGGCGAAGGCGGCCCCCUGGACAAAGACUGACGCUCGGGUGCGAAAGCGUGGGGAGCAAACAGG